GGACAUUGUAAAAAUAAAAUUUGCAGUGAACUUUAUUUUGACAGUUCGAAUCUUAAAUGUUUGACUUUAACACAAAAUUCAACUUUUAAAACUGAGAAUUCCAACGUUUCCUCAGUAUUUAAAGUUUGAUGUAAGUAUUCAAAAGCAAUUAUUGCAACUUUAGAAGGAAGUGAAAUGGACGAAAAGUAUUAAAGCAUCAUCCACACAUUUUGAUGAUUUAUCUUUAUUCGGAAAGAAC
rnacentral:lncRNA from 1 species